rnacentral:rRNA from 1 species
UGGGGGAUAUUGCACAAUGGGCGAAAGCCUGAUGCAGCGACGCCGCGUGGGGGAUGAAGGCUUUCGGGUUGUAAACCUCUUUCGCUAUCGAACAAGGCCCGCUUAGGGUGGGUUGAGGGUAGGUGGAGAAGAAGCGCCGGCUAACUACGUGCCAGCAGCCGCGGUAAUACGUAGGGCGCGAGCGUUGUCCGGAAUUAUUGGGCGUAAAGGGCUUGUAGGCGGCUUGUUGCGCCUGCUGUGAAAACGCGGGGCUUAACUUCGCGCGUGCAGUGGGUACGGGCAGGCAUGAGUGUGGUAGGGGUGACUGGAAUUCCAGGUGUAGCGGUGGAAUGCGCAGAUUUCUGGAGGAACACCGAUGGCGAAGGCAGGUCACUGGGCCAUUACUGACGCUGAGGAGCGAAAGCAUGGGUAGCGAACAGG